GGCAACCCUGACGGAGCAACGCCGCGUGGGGGAGGAAUGUCUGUGGAUUGUAAACCCCUUUUCUCAGGGAAGAAGCUCUGACGGUACCUGAGGAAUCAGCCUCGGCUAACUCCGUGCCAGCAGCCGCGGUAAUACGGAGGAGGCAAGCGUUAUCCGGAAUUAUUGGGCGUAAAGCGUCCGCAGGUGGCGAUUCAAGUCUGCUGUCAAAGCACGGGGCUUAACUCCGUAAAGGCAGUGGAAACUGAAUAGCUAGAGUGCCGUAGGGGUAGAGGGAAUUCCCGGUGUAGCGGUGAAAUGCGUAGAGAUCGGGAAGAACAUCGGUGGCGAAAGCGCUCUACUGGACGGCAACUGACACUCAGGGACGAAAGCUAGGGGAGCG
rnacentral:rRNA from 1 species